GCGCCCUUGGUGUAACGGUAACACACAAUCUACUUCUGCGGAAACCGGAAUGGUUUAAGAUUGGGUCCGGGGUUCGACUCCCCGAGGGCACA